GACGAACGCUGGCGGCGUGCUUAACACAUGCAAGUCGAACGGAAAGGCCCUGCUUUUGUGGGGUGCUCGAGUGGCGAACGGGUGAGUAACACGUGAGUAACCUGCCCUUGUCUUUGGGAUAACUUCAGGAAACUGGGGCUAAUACCGGAUAGGAGCUCCUGCUGCAUGGUGGGGGUUGGUAAGUUUCGGCGGUUGGGGAUGGACUCGCGGCUUAUCAGCUUGUUGGUGGGGUAGUGGCUUACCAAGGCUUUGACGGGUAGCCGGCCUGAGAGGGUUACCGGCCACAUUGGGACUGAGAUACGGACCAGACUCCUACGGGAGGCAGCAGUGGGGAAUAUUGCACAAUGGGCGGAAGCCUGAUGCAGCAACGCCGCGUGCGGGAUGACGGCCUCCGGGUUGUAAACCGCUUUCGCCUGUGACGAAGCGUGAGUGACGGUAAUGGGUAAAGAAGCACCGGCUAACUACGUG
rnacentral:rRNA from 1 species